UACGUAGGGUGCGAGCGUUAAUCGGAAUUACUGGGCGUAAAGCGUGCGCAGGCGGUUCGUUGUGUCGGUGGUGAAAGCCCCGGGCUUAACCUGGGAAUGGCAUUGGAAACUGGCGGGCUUGAGUGCGGCAGAGGGGGGUGGAAUUCCGCGUGUAGCAGUGAAAUGCGUAGAGAUGCGGAGGAACACCGAUGGCGAAGGCAGCCGACUGGGUCGACACUGACGCUCAGGCACGAAAGCGUGGGGAGCAAACAGG
rnacentral:rRNA from 1 species